AGAGUUUGAUCCUGGCUCAGAACGAACGCUGGCGGCGUGCCUAACACAUGCAAGUCGAGCGAGAAAGUUUCUUCGGAAAUGAGUACAGCGGCGGACGGGUGAGUAACACGUGGGUAAUCUGCCCUUUGAUUUGGGAUAACUCAGGGAAACUUGAGCUAAUACCGAAUAAGACCACGUAACGAGAGUUACGGGGGAAAAGCAGGGGACUUCUUCGGAAGCCUUGUGUCAGAGGAUGAGCCCGCGUCCCAUCAGCUAGUUGGCGGGGUAAUGGCCCACCAAGGCUAAGACGGGUAGCUGGUCUGAGAGGAUGAUCAGCCACACUGGAACUGAGACACGGUCCAGACUCCUACGGGAGGCAGCAGUGGGGAAUCUUGCGCAAUGGGCGAAAGCCUGACGCAGCAACGCCGCGUGAGUGAUGAAGGUCUUCGGAUCGUAAAGCUCUGUCGGCAGGAAAGAAGGGUUUUUUGGCUAAUAUCCAAGAAAUCUGACGGUACCUGCAAAGGAAGCACCGGCUAACUCUGUGCCAGCAGCCGCGGUAAUACAGAGGGUGCAAGCGUUGUUCGGAAUUAUUGGGCGUAAAGGGCGCGUAGGCGGUUUCGUAGUCAGAUGUGAAAGCCCAGGG
rnacentral:rRNA from 1 species